UAAAACCAUCUGAGAAAACCAAACUCGUACGAAAAUCCUUUCUUCUCUCUCCUCAACCAACCACCGGAGUUCUGACGUCAUGUCCAGAAACCGUCGCACAACCUCCCUCCGUGACUCGGAAACUCGACUCACUGAGUCCGAUAAGAUCGAAUGCACCGGUAGCUGGGACGCUAUUGAGUGGACACAGAUCGAUCAGCCUGUUGUUUCGAGGCCUGUUCCGCAUGGAUUAUCUGAUUUUUUGUAUGAAGCUGAGGAGGUUAUCGCGGAGGGGUAUGGCGUUCUUGUUAACACUGAUGAAGCAGGUACCUUGUUCGUGACCAAUUUUCGUCUUCUUUUUUUGAGUGAAGGAUCGAGAGACAUCAUUGCACUAGGAACUAUACCAUUGGCCACCAUUGAAAAGUUUAGCAAAAUUGUGAUAAAGCAGCUGUCAGGACCUAGGCAAUAUGAUAAGACUCCUACACGAAGGCUUCUUCAGGUCAUCGGAAAAGAUAUGAGGAUUAUUGUAUUUGCUUUUCGUCCUCGAAGUAAACAGAGACGUGCUGUCUUUGAAGCAUUACUAAGGUGUGCAAGGCCCACAAGGCUCUGGGAUCUGUAUGCCUUUUCAUCUGGACCGUCAAGAUUCAGCAAUGCUAGCCCUAGAGUGCGAUUAGUGAAUGAAUACUUACGUCUUCUCGGUAUGAAAUCACACAUUUCAUCAGCAAAGAUGAUCGAAGAUGGUUCCUUCACGUUGUCUAAUGACUGGUGGAGGAUUAGUGAUGUGAAUGCAACUUAUGACAUGUCUGCAACUUACCCGUUUUCUUUGUUACUACCAAAAUCCAUCAGAGACGAGGAUGUGCUACAAGCUUGUAAAUUUCGCGCACGAUGUAGAUUACCUGCAAUAUCAUGGUGUGAUGCACGCACUGGGGCUGUUCUUGCACGAUCAUCCCAGCCAUUAGUCGGUCUAAUGAUGAAUAUGAGAAGCAACGCUGAUGAGAAUCUUGUUGGUGCUCUCUGUACUCAACUACCUGAUGGAAAGAGAGGACGAAGGAAGUUAUAUAUAGCUGAUGCUAGACCCCGGAAAAAUGCGUUGGCAAACGGGGCCAUGGGAGGUGGUUCAGAGUCUUCAUCAAACUAUUUCCAGUCUGAGAUUGUAUUCUUUGGGAUAGAUAAUAUCCACGCCAUGAGGGAGAGUCUUGUUCGUCUCAGAGACUACUUGGAUACACAUGGAACUAAAUCAUCAGAUGGAAUGUCUUCAUUCUUGAGACAUGGUGGAUGGACAUGGGGUGGAGGUAAUCUCAGCAGUAUGUCUGCUUCUGUAUCAACCCUUGGUGACAGUGGUUGGUUAAACCACAUCCAGAAUGUACUCGCUGGGUCAGCUUGGAUUGCUGCUCGUGUGGCAAUUGAGUCAGCAUCUGUGCUCGUUCAUUGCAGUGAUGGAUGGGACAGAACAACCCAACUAGUCGCCCUUGCAAGCCUGUUACUUGACCCGUAUUACCGCACCAUCAAGGGAUUUCAGGCUCUUGUCGAAAAAGAUUGGCUUGCAUUUGGGCAUCCUUUUGCAGACCGAGCUGGAAUGCCAAGCUUAUCUGGGAGUGAUGUAGAAUUACCGAGGCAAUCCUCAAGCUCAAAUUUCCCAUCGUCACCUAUGCGCCAAACACCUGGGUCAUUCCCAUCUCAACCUCUAAUGGCCUCUCAGACACACACUUCAAACAAUUAUUCUCCAAUAUUUCUUCAGUGGGUUGAUUGUGUUUCUCAGUUAUUGCGCAUGUACCCUUUCGCAUUUGAGUUCUCUUCGUUAUCAAAAGCGACCGAUUUUGGCGCCUAGGCGAGAUACUCAGUCGAUGCGCAUUUAAUGCGCUUCUCUUUCCUAGGCUUAUCUGGUUGAUUUUCUAGAUUGCACGCUUUCUUGUCGUUUUGGGAACUUCUUGUGCAAUAGUGAGAAGGAAAGAGAACAAUAUGGUGUCUCUGAUGCAUGUGGAUGCUUGUGGAUGUAUUUAGACGAUAAGCGUGCAUCAGGUGGCAGUUCUCACGUGCACUACAAUCUCUUCUACGAUCCAUCUAAACACGAGGGCCCGUUAUUGCCACCAGCUGCAGCUUUAGCCCCGACAUUGUGGCCCCAGUUUCAUUUGAGGUGGUCAUGUCCUUCAGAAGCUCAAGCUGGAGAGGUUGAAGCUCAAUGUAGGAAUAUGAUGGACAAAAUCUCUGAACUUCAAAAGGCAAAGGACGCUGCGGAGAGGAAAGCCCGAGAAACAAUUGCGACAAUGGAAGCUGUGAAAGCCGAGAUACGAAGCGAGAAACAGGUCAGCAGCUCGGCUAUGAACUUAGCAAGAAAAAUCAGCAGGGAAAACAAUAUCAUAAAAAGAGCAAUACAAUCUCUGGGGUGUAGAAUUCAUGUAUCGGGAAAUGAUGACUGUACAAUCAACAUUGAAAGCAAUCUACCUGAUAGAAUAACAUCAACCUGCGAGACUGGAGGUAGUCUAGACUUGUACGAUGAAAAAAUGGACGUGCCCAUAUCUGUUACCUUAACCCACGAUAACGGUGAUAAUGAUGAUGUUCCUGGAAACCCGAUCCUAAGGGUCUGUGAAAACUUGUGCCCACAACGGACCGUAGAUGGAGGGUGCAAGUGGCCCGAUGCUGGCUGUGCUCAACUGGAGAGCCAGUUUGUAGGUUUGAGAGCUAACUAUGAUGCUUUUGAUCGGUUAUCUAUUUAUGACAGCUACUUCCAGCCCGAAUGACAAAACAGGUUUUUCGAGUAGACACCCGGGACAUUGUACAAUUUGAGGUUUGAAGCGCAUACGUAUAAUUUACAAGGGGAAAUUAGGAAUGUAUAGUUGAAGUGGUUAUUACUAUGUACAGAUUCUUGGUAGAUUAUGAAACUCUUUAAGUUGUAAAAUUAGGCAGAAUCUCAUCCAAAUCAACAAUUAAGGUGUUAUUACUAGUGAAAGCACAGGACUAGAUAUUAGAAUUUAUGUAUUCCAAGGACUUAUACAGGCUAAAGACGGGCUAUAUGUAUUUCGUGAAAAUACUAUUUAAUUUAGUUCCAACAUCUUAUGUGACA